GGGAGUCAAGGUGUUUGAAAUGGUUUCUUUACUCUUCAGCUUAUUUGGGAGGAAAGAUGACAAAGUGAUACAUUGAUGACAGAAGAGACUGAAACAGCCAAAAGAGAGGUUUCUGCUAGAGCUAAAAAAUUUGAUUUGGAGUUCACAAAGAAUUGUCAACUUCCAUUGGAUCUCAGCAUCCAGUAAAAGUGGAGAACAUGUAGCAAUGGAAAUAGCAGGUGAAAAUUCCAUGAUGCUUCCAAUCUGCCUUGCUCUAAAAUAUUUUAAAUGUGACUUUAUUAUGUUAUGGGUUUGGAUGCUUUUCCUCCAUGUAUGCUUGCAUACCACUGGAACAUCUGAUGCCCUCUGAGGACUCACCCGAAUUAUAAUACUACAGUCAGGUUCCUUCCUUUCUACAAAUACUUCGAUUAACAAGUCUCCAGCCUGGGACACCUAGAAAAGGGCAGAAGUGAAGAUAGCACAUUGAAACCCUGAAUCCAUUAUCAUUCCUAGUUACCAGAAGAUGAUUAAUGAUCAACCUUAAGACGUUCCAGGGAAUUCAUCAAACAAGAGAGCAGAAGAGGCAUUGAAUCUCCAGGAACCGGAGUUACAGAUGAUUCUGAGCUGUCAUGUGUGUGCUGGUAAUGGAACCUGAGUCAUCUGAAUGAUCAAUAUGUGAUUUUAAUUGCUGAGCUAUCUCUUCAGCCCCCGAAAAUGCCUUUCUAAAAUAAAUAUAUAUUGACAAGAUAA